rnacentral:sRNA from 1 species
GCCAGGCACAGCGGCACGUGCUUGUGGUUCCAGCAACGUGGGAGGCUGAGGCAGGAGGACCAGUCAAGUCCAGGAGUCCAUGGUCAGCCUGGGCAGCUCAGUGAGAGCCUGUCUUUA